AUUGAACGCUGGCGGCAGGCCUAACACAUGCAAGUCGAGCGGAUGACGGGAGCUUGCUCCUGGAUUCAGCGGCGGACGGGUGAGUAAUGCCUAGGAAUCUGCCUGGUAGUGGGGGACAACGUUUCGAAAGGAACGCUAAUACCGCAUACGUCCUACGGGAGAAAGCAGGGGACCUUCGGGCCUUGCGCUAUCAGAUGAGCCUAGGUCGGAUUAGCUAGUUGGUGAGGUAAUGGCUCACCAAGGCAACGAUCCGUAACUGGUCUGAGAGGAUGAUCAGUCACACUGGAACUGAGACACGGUCCAGACUCCUACGGGAGGCAGCAGUGGGGAAUAUUGGACAAUGGGCGAAAGCCUGAUCCAGCCAUGCCGCGUGUGUGAAGAAGGUCUUCGGAUUGUAAAGCACUUUAAGUUGGGAGGAAGGGCAGUAAGCGAAUACCUUGCUGUUUUGACGUUACCGACAGAAUAAGCACCGGCUAACUCUGUGCCAGCAGCCGCGGUAAAAC
rnacentral:rRNA from 1 species